AGAUUGAACGCUGGCGGCAUGCCUUACACAUGCAAGUCGAACGGCAGCACGGGAGCAAUCCUGGUGGCGAGUGGCGAACGGGUGAGUAAUACAUCGGAACGUGCCCAAUCGUGGGGGAUAACGCAGCGAAAGCUGUGCUAAUACCGCAUAAGAUCUACGGAUGAAAGCAGGGGAUCGCAAGACCUUGCGCGAAUGGAGCGGCCGAUGGCAGAUUAGGUAGUUGGUGAGGUAAAGGCUCACCAAGCCUUCGAUCUGUAGCUGGUCUGAGAGGACGACCAGCCACACUGGGACUGAGACACGGCCCAGACUCCUACGGGAGGCAGCAGUGGGGAAUUUUGGACAAUGGGCGAAAGCCUGAUCCAGCCAUGCCGCGUGCAGGAUGAAGGCCUUGGUUGUAAACUGCUUUUGUAGGAACGAAAGUCUCUUUCUAAGUAAAGAGGAUCAUGACGGUACCGUAAGAAUAAGACACGACUAA
rnacentral:rRNA from 1 species